rnacentral:rRNA from 1 species
AGUACAGACGUAGUUUGAUCAUUCGGCUCAGAACGAACGCUGGUCGGCAGGCCUAACACAUGCAAGUCGAGCGCCCCGCAAGGGAGCGCGGACGGGUGAGUAACGCGUGGGAACGUACCCUUUGCUACGGAAUAGCCUCGGGAAACUGGGAGUAAUACCGUAUGUGCCCUUCGGGGGAAAGAUUUAUCGGCAAAGGAUCGGCCCGCGUUGGAUUAGGUAGUUGGUGGGGUAAUGGCCUACCAAGCCGACGAUCCAUAGCUGGUUUGAGAGGAUGAUCAGCCACACUGGGACUGAGACACGGCCCAGACUCCUACGGGAGGCAGCAGUGGGGAAUCUUAGACAAUGGGCGCAAGCCUGAUCUAGCCAUGCCGCGUGAGCGAUGAAGGCCUUAGGGUUGUAAAGCUCUUCAGUGGGGAAGAUAAUGACUGUACCCACAGAAGAAGCCCCGGCUAACUCCGUG